CAAUAGCGUAUAUUAAUGUUGUUGCAGUUAAAAAGCUCGUAGUUGGAUUUCUGGUGGGAGCGGCCGGUCCGCCGUAAGGUGUGUACUUGGUUGUCUCCUGUCAUCCUUGUGGGAACUGCUCUGGCAUUAAGUUGUCGGGGUUAGGGAACACAUCGUUUACUGUGAAAAAAUUAGAGUGUUUAAAGCAGGCUUAUGCCGUUGAAUACAUUAGCAUGGAAUAAUAAGAUAGGACUUUGGCGUCUAUUUUGUUGGUUUGCACACCAAGGUAAUGAUUAAUAGGGAUAGUUGGGGGUAUUCGUAUUUAAUUGUCGGAGGUGAAAUUCUUGGAUUUAUGAAAGACGAACUUCUGCGAAAGCAUUUACCAAAGAUGUUUUCAUUAA
rnacentral:rRNA from 1 species